rnacentral:rRNA from 1 species
GGGUUGUGAGGUUAAGCGACUAAGCGUACACGGUGGAUGCCCUGGCAGUCAGAGGCGAUGAAGGACGUGCUAAUCUGCGAAAAGCGUCGGUAAGGUGAUAUGAACCGUUAUAACCGGCGAUGUCCGAAUGGGGAAACCCAGUGCAAUUCGUUGCACUAUCGUUAACUGAAUACAUAGGUUAACGAGGCGAACCGGGGGAACUGAAACAUCUAAGUACCCCGAGGAAAAGAAAUCAACCGAGAUUCCCCCAGUAGCGGCGAGCGAACGGGGAGCAGCCCAGAGUCUGAAUCAGCUUGUGUGUUAGUGGAACGGUCUGGAAAGUCCGACGGUACAGGGUGAUAGUCCCGUACACCAAAAUGCACAGGCUGUGAACUCGAAGAGUAGGGCGGGACACGUGGUAUCCUGUCUGAAUAUGGGGGGACCAUCCUCCAAGGCUAAAUACUCCUGACUGACCGAUAGUGAACCAGUACCGUGAGGGAAAGGCGAAAAGAACCCCGGCGAGGGGAGUGAAAAAGAACCUGAAACCGUGUACGUACAAGCAGUGGGAGCCCCACCACCAAAGCAUUCUCUGGUGUUGAAGGCCCUGCAGAGCAGCAUCGCGGUGGCGGAGCGUCGUUUGCGACGCCCAACACACAAAACAAGCGGUGAGUGCUUUGGGGUGGGGUGACUGCGUACCUUUUGUAUAAUGGGUCAGCGACUUAUAUUCUGUAGCAAGGUUAACCGUAUAGGGGAGCCGCAGGGAAACCGAGUCUUAACUGGGCGUUAAGUUGCAGGGUAUAGACCCGAAACCCGGUGAUCUAGCCAUGGGCAGGUUGAAGGUUGGGUAACACUAACUGGAGGACCGAACCGACUAAUGUUGAAAAAUUAGCGGAUGACUUGUGGCUGGGGGUGAAAGGCCAAUCAAACCGGGAGAUAGCUGGUUCUCCCCGAAAGCUAUUUAGGUAGCGCCUCGUGAACUCAUCUUCGGGGGUAGAGCACUGUUUCGGCUAGGGGGUCAUCCCGACUUACCAACCCGAUGCAAACUACGAAUACCGAAGAAUGUUAUCACGGGAGACACACGGCGGGUGCUAACGUCCGUCGUGAAGAGGGAAACAACCCAGACCGCCAGCUAAGGUCCCAAAGUCAUGGUUAAGUGGGAAACGAUGUGGGAAGGCACAGACAGCCAGGAUGUUGGCUUAGAAGCAGCCAUCAUUUAAAGAAAGCGUAAUAGCUCACUGGUCGAGUCGGCCUGCGCGGAAGAUGUAACGGGGCUAAACCAUGCACCGAAGCUGCGGCAGCGACACUAUGUGUUGUUGGGUAGGGGAGCGUUCUGUAAGCCUGCGAAGGUGUGCUGUGAGGCAUGCUGGAGGUAUCAGAAGUGCGAAUGCUGACAUAAGUAACGAUAAAGCGGGUGAAAAGCCCGCUCGCCGGAAGACCAAGGGUUCCUGUCCAACGUUAAUCGGGGCAGGGUGAGUCGACCCCUAAGGCGAGGCCGAAAGGCGUAGUCGAUGGGAAACAGGUUAAUAUUCCUGUACUUGGUGUUACUGCGAAGGGGGGACGGAGAAGGCUAUGUUAGCCGGGCGACGGUUGUCCCGGUUUAAGCAUGUAGGCUGGUUAUCCAGGCAAAUCCGGAUAAUCAAGGCUGAGGUGUGAUGACGAGGCACUACGGUGCUGAAGUAACAAAUGCCCUGCUUCCAGGAAAAGCCUCUAAGCAUCAGGUAACAUUAAAUCGUACCCCAAACCGACACAGGUGGUCAGGUAGAGAAUACCAAGGCGCUUGAGAGAACUCGGGUGAAGGAACUAGGCAAAAUGGUGCCGUAACUUCGGGAGAAGGCACGCUGGUGUGUAGGUGAAGUCCCUGCGGAUGGAGCUGAGACCAGUCGAAGAUACCAGCUGGCUGCAACUGUUUAUUAAAAACACAGCACUGUGCAAACACGAAAGUGGACGUAUACGGUGUGACGCCUGCCCGGUGCCGGAAGGUUAAUUGAUGGGGUUAUCCGUAAGGAGAAGCUCUUGAUCGAAGCCCCGGUAAACGGCGGCCGUAACUAUAACGGUCCUAAGGUAGCGAAAUUCCUUGUCGGGUAAGUUCCGACCUGCACGAAUGGCGUAAUGAUGGCCAGGCUGUCUCCACCCGAGACUCAGUGAAAUUGAACUCGCUGUGAAGAUGCAGUGUACCCGCGGCAAGACGGAAAGACCCCGUGAACCUUUACUAUAGCUUGACACUGAACAUUGAGCCUUGAUGUGUAGGAUAGGUGGGAGGCUUUGAAGCGUGGACGCCAGUCUGCGUGGAGCCAACCUUGAAAUACCACCCUUUAAUGUUUGAUGUUCUAACGUUGGCCCCUGACCGGGGUUGCGGACAGUGUCUGGUGGGUAGUUUGACUGGGGCGGUCUCCUCCCAAAGCGUAACGGAGGAGCACGAAGGUUAGCUAAUCCUGGUCGGACAUCAGGAGGUUAGUGCAAUGGCAUAAGCUAGCUUGACUGCGAGCGUGACGGCGCGAGCAGGUGCGAAAGCAGGUCAUAGUGAUCCGGUGGUUCUGAAUGGAAGGGCCAUCGCUCAACGGAUAAAAGGUACUCCGGGGAUAACAGGCUGAUACCGCCCAAGAGUUCAUAUCGACGGCGGUGUUUGGCACCUCGAUGUCGGCUCAUCACAUCCUGGGGCUGAAGUAGGUCCCAAGGGUAUGGCUGUUCGCCAUUUAAAGUGGUACGCGAGCUGGGUUUAGAACGUCGUGAGACAGUUCGGUCCCUAUCUGCCGUGGGCGCUGGAGAAUUGAGGGGGGCUGCUCCUAGUACGAGAGGACCGGAGUGGACGCAUCACUGGUGUUCGGGUUGUCAUGCCAAUGGCACUGCCCGGUAGCUAAAUGCGGAAGAGAUAAGUGCUGAAAGCAUCUAAGCACGAAACUUGCCCCGAGAUGAGUUCUCCCUGAGACUUUAAGUCUCCUGAAGGAACGUUGAAGACGACGACGUUGAUAGGCCGGGUGUGUAAGCGCAGCGAUGCGUUGAGCUAACCGGUACUAAUGAACCGUGAGGCUUAACCUUACAACGCCGAAG